rnacentral:rRNA from 1 species
AUUAAACGCUGGCGGCAUGCCUUACACAUGCAAGUCGAACGGCAGCACGGGGGCAACCCUGGUGGCGAGUGGCGAACGGGUGAGUAAAGCAUCGGAACGUGCCCUGGAGUGGGGGAUAACGUAGCGAAAGUUACGCUAAUACCGCAUAUUCUGUGAGCAGGAAAGCAGGGGACCGCAAGGCCUUGCGCUCUUUGAGCGGCCGAUGUCAGAUUAGCUAGUUGGUGAGGUAAAGGCUUACCAAGGCGACGAUUUGUAGCGGGUCUGAGAGGAUGAUCCGCCACACUGGAACUGAGACACGGUCCAGACUCCUACGGGAGGCAGCAGUGGGGAAUUUUGGACAAUGGGCGAAAGCCUGAU